AUUUAUCUGAAAGAAAAUUGUUAGGGGGGGAAUGGAGGCAGGUUCCUGUUCAGGGUGGUAGGCGAGCCCUGUCCCUGUCCCACCUCACCUUCCCAUCUACCCUUAUAUAACAGGUAUGAGGGUCUAGAACAUGACAGUCAGAACAACAAAGUAGACAAAACCCCAUCCCAGUUGGAGAGGGUGCCUAAGGCAAGGCAACCUACCCCCUGCAUUGCUACAUCAUCUGUCAAAAAAGAAAGAAGGGUUAUUGUCAUGGGGGACUCCAUUCUGAAAAGGAUAGAGGGCCUGAUAAGCUGACCGGACCCAACCCACAGGGAAGUCUGUUGCCUCCC